GAUGAACGCUGGCGGCGUGCCUAAUACAUGCAAGUCGAGCGAACAGAUGAGGAUCUUGCUCCUCUGACGUUAGCGGCGGACGGGUGAGUAACACGUGGAUAACCUACCUAUAAGACUGGGAUAACUUCGGGAAACCGGAGCUAAUACCGUAUAAUAUAUUGAACCGCAUGGUUCAAUAGUGAAAGACGGUUUUGCUGUCACUUAUAGAUGGUUCCGCGCCGCAUUAGCUAGUUGGUAAGGUAACGGCUUACCAAGGCAACGAUGCGUAGCCGACCUGAGAGGGUGAUCGGCCACACUGGAACUGAGACACGGUCCAGACUCCUACGGGAGGCAGCAGUAGGGAAUCUUCCGCAAUGGGCGAAAGCCUGACGGAGCAACGCCGCGUGAGUGAUGAAGGUCUUCGGAUCGUAAAACUCUGUUAUUAGGGAAGAACAAAUGUGUAAGUAACUAUGCACGUAUUGACGGUACCUAAUCAGAAAGCAACGGCUAACUACGUG
rnacentral:rRNA from 1 species